rnacentral:rRNA from 1 species
CCUACGGGAGGCAGCAGUAGGGAAUAUUGCUCAAUGGGCGAAACCCUGAAGCAGCAACGCCGCGUGGAGGAUGAAGGUUUUCGGAUUGUAAACCCCUUUUGUUAGAGAAGAUAAUGACGGUAUCUAACGAAUAAGCACUGGCUAACUCCGUGCCAGCAGCCGCGGCAAUACGGAGGGUGCAAGCGUUACUCGGAAUCACUGGGCGUAAAGAGCGCGUAGGCGGGCUAGCAAGUCAGAUGUGAAAUCCUAGGGCUUAACCAUAGAACUGCAUUUGAAACUGUUAUUCUAGAGUAUGGGAGAGGUAGGUGGAAUUCUUGGUGUAGGGGUAAAAUCCGUAGAGAUCAAGAGGAAUACUCAUUGCGAAGGCGACCUGCUGGAACAUAACUGACGCUGAUGUGCGAAAGCGUGGGGAGCAAACAGGAUUAGAUACCCUUGUAGUC